rnacentral:lncRNA from 1 species
CCUCCAGCCCCUCUCCGUGGACGUGCCAAGGGGCCGGGACGAGGCUCUCCGAGGGCGGCGCGCCGGCAGUGCCCCCGCCGCAGCCRGAGCCCGGUGAGUCCGGCGCGGUUUAACCUUAGCUCUGCCCCCGGUUUUGGUGCGGAGCCGGGCUGAGACCUGCCAAACUCAUUGCAGCAGUGGGACCCUAGUUUUAGCCCUGGGUCCCCAUGGGGCCAGCUCUGUCCCCUUGUCGCCUCCAUUCACCCCAAUUUGUGCUGCCCCGCCCCCAGAUGCUCCCCCCGCCCGGGCCAGCGCGGCACCCCGCGAGGUCCCGCUCGUGGCCCCCCCUCGCCGCUCCCGGACGAAGAGGCCCGCGGCCGGCCAGGCCGUCGGCAGCAACACGGACCUGGUGCGUGGCUGGGGUGGGGGGGCUGGGGCUGGUGGUCCCCCCCGACGCCCUCUCGCCUUGCAGUCGCGCUCGCUGAGCCCGUCGCCCUCCUGGAGCUGCGGCCCCUCGCACUCGGCACCCGCCAGCCUGGGCGAGCGGGGCUUCUUUGCCGUCACCCAGCCGGCGCUCGGUGGGUCCCGGGGGUGGGUGGGGGGACACGGGGGGGCCGUGCCGCGCCGGGUGCUGACCCCUGCCCGCCUCCGCAGGGCUCUCGCGGGGCCCCAGCCCCGUGGUGCUGGGCUCGCAGGACGCGCUGCCCGUGGCCACGGCUUUCACCGAGUACAUCCACGCCUACUUCAAGGGCCGCGACUCCGACAGCUGCCUGGUGAAGGUCACGGGGGAGCUCACCAUGUCCUUCCCCGCCGGCAUCGUCCGCGUCUUCAGCGGCAGCCUGGCCCCGCCGGUGCUGAGCUUCCGCCUGGUCAACGCGGGCGCCAUCGAGCAGUUCCUGCCCAACGCCGAGCUGCUCUACAGGUGCGGGACGCGGGCGAGCGUGGCGGGGGCGCGGCGGGGCACCAGGCAUCCUCGAAGCCGGCGGCUGGGAGCUGGGAAGGGGAUGCACGGGGUGCCGGGCAUCCUUGGAGCUGGGAACAGAAUGCACGGGGUGCUGGGCAUCCUUGGAGCUGGGAACGGGAUGCAUGGGGUGCUGGGCAUCCUUGGAGCUGGGAGCGGGGUGCACGGGGUGCCGGGCAUCCUCGGAGCUGGGAGCAGGGUGCACGGGGUGCUGGGCAUCCUCAGAGGCAGCGGCCAGGAUCUGGGAACUGGGAAUGGGGUGCCCAGGUUGCCCAGGUAUCCUUGGAGGCAGCAGCAAGGAGCUGGGAAUGGGGUGCACAGGCAUCCUCGGAGCCAGCCAAGGCAGCAGGAGCGGGGUGCACGGGAGCAGAUGAAGGUGGUGGUGGUGGGGAGCUGGGAUGGGGUUCUUGGGGUGCACGGGAGCAGAUGAAGGUGGUGGUGGGGAGCUGGGG